AUUGCUUCUCUGCAUUUUGGCUAAGAUCAAGUGUAGUAUGUGUUCUUGAACAAAUUAUUGAAUAAAGCUAGACUUAUAUAGUAGCUUUU
ensembl:snRNA U2 U2 spliceosomal RNA